rnacentral:tRNA from 2 species
UCCCUGAUAGCUCAGUUGGUAGAGCGACGGACUGUUAAUCCGCAGGUCCCAGGUUCGAGCCCUGGUCGGGGAG